GGACAAUGGGCGAAACUGNANUCCAGCAAUGCCGCGUGGAUGAAGAAGGUCUUCGGAUUGUAAAGUCCUUUCGGCGGGGACGAUGAUGACGGUACCCGCAGAAGAAGCCCCGGCUAACUUCGUGCCAGCAGCCGCGGUAGUACGAAGGGGGCUAGCGUUGCUCGGAAUUACUGGGCGUAAAGGGCGCGUAGGCGGAAAUCUCAGUCAGGCGUGAAAGCCCCGGGCUCAACCUGGGAAUUGCGCUUGAGACGGGGUUUCUUGAGGGCGAGAGAGGGUGGUGGAAUUCCCAGUGUAGAGGUGAAAUUCGUAGAUAUUGGGAAGAACACCGGUGGCGAAGGCGGCCACCUGGCUCGCACCUGACGCUGAGGCGCGAAASUGGNGGAGCAAACAGGAUUAGAUACCCUGGUAGUCCACGCUGUAAACGAUGUGCGCUGGAUGUUGGGUGACCUAGUCACUCAGUGUCGUAGCCAACGCGGUAAGSCACCGCCUGGGGAGUACGGCCGCAAGUUGAAACUCAAAGGAAUUGACGGGGGCCCGCACAAGCGUGGAGCAUGUGGUUUAAUUCGAAGCACGCGCAGAACCUUACAGCC
rnacentral:rRNA from 1 species